ACUGAAUAUGUUCCUUUUGUUUCCAAACAACUGAAUGGUGUAAGAUGAAAACGCAUAAUUUAGCUCUUGUUAACAACAAUUAAUCCCAGCCGGGCCUGAGAACUUCCCUGAGGAGCCUGCCCUCGCCAACCUGGAGAGCUACUUGGCCAGAGGCGACGCCUGAGCUCCGCCCCCAGGACCCUGCCAUCUCCAUCCGGGAGACCAUCGCUGGGCGGGGCCUUAGCCGCUCUGGAGGAGGCCGCCAUAUCCUGUCAGGGAAGCGGCGCGGCCCGGGCCUGAGCUCCGGCGAGGACCUCGCCACUGCUGGGGCCUUUACCUCAAACGACAGAGAGCAGAAGGGCCAUCAUUCUGAGCCAGGAAGAUAACUGGGUGGUGAGCAGCCGAGAGAGAGCCGCCACUCAGUCUCGUUGAGAAUCAAAGCCCGCUGAGAGUGUGAAGAGAAUCCCUCCAAUAAAGAGUCAGCAGUUGGCAGAAGCUGGCUCAAGCCUUAUGUGCAGUCUUGCCAUGGAAUUACAAGACAUUUCAAAAUUUUUGAGGGGCUGCAGGAAGACUGCUUACUCAUGAAGAAGGGAGGCAAUAAACUUCAGGUAGUCAAUGGCUCUGUAGUCCUGCUGCUGAUGCUCUUAGAAUUUUGGAGAGUUAAAACUGGCUGGAAGAAGAAAACGAUUCAUCGGUCACUCCAAAGGCAACAAAGUACAUUGAUUGAGAUAUGA
rnacentral:lncRNA from 1 species